AGGAGAGGAGGUACGAGGCAUUAUGGGUAGCUCAAAGCUGUGAACCUGCACGUGUCGGGCUCUAGCUGAGAGGAAGGACGCUGAGCUCGAUUUGAAAGCAUGUUUGUUCUCUUCUCUGCAAAUCUACACAUUUUCUCCACAUCCUUGUUUACCGGGAGAGACGAGGCUUCAUAAGCUCUGUCUGCCAAGCAGCUUCUACAUACACAAGAUAUUUUGUUUGUCCACUGGGUUAACCACAUUCUCGCCGACGAACAAGAAUAUCGCCUUACUCGGUAUCUCAUGUCGAAUUAUGACUUGGCCGUCCGUCCUUCCCAUAACGCCUCACUUCCUCUCCGUAUGACCUUUGACCUAUCUCUUCAUCAAGUGAUUGAUGUGGAUGAGAGAAGACACAUACUUACCACAAGUUGCUGGAUAACACAGAAAUGGACAGAUUACUACCCG